GGAGGGGUGGCAGAGUGGUUGAAUGCGGCGGUCUCGAAAACCGUUUUACCCGCAACCCGGGUAACGAGGGUUCGAAUCCCUCCUCCUCCGCCA
rnacentral:tRNA from 1 species